rnacentral:lncRNA from 1 species
UGCUAUUCCGAUUCAGAGAUAAGGUUAAACGACAGGCUUUGCCUAUACAGGUGGGCAUUACUUUUACUAUACGUAUAUAGAGAUCCCCUGCGUGUCGUAGGCCUCUUAUACGAAUAUAUGCAUGAGAUGAUUUUAACUGUUAAUUUCAGUUUAUUAUUAUGCCCAAAUGAUAAAUGACUCUUAUGAAAUGAAAAUGAAAUGUUCAUGAAAUGAAAUGAAAUGUUUAUGAAAUGAUUGACUGCCAAAAAUGUUUAUGUUUUUAUAUGUAUCCUAUCUGUGUUGGUUCGCCAACUUUAAAGGAAAUCCAAUUGGGAUCCUAUGCUAGACAAAGGUCGCUAGCUAGGGUUAACGUGUACACUCAUGGAGACCGCGAGUCGCUUGCGACCGGUCUUGGCGUCCGUGGUAAGGAGGCCUCCUUCCCGGCGCGUGACAGAAAGGAACAGAUAUGGAUCAUAUGAAGGAAAAUGAUCGGCCGAUCGACUUUAUGAAAAUGAAAGAAAUAUUUAGUAAGCGCAGGUCAUUCAAGAAAACCCCUGUGUGUUACUGUUAUGGCAGUUCAAUUUAUAUAUGUAUGCAUGUCGUAUUUUCGGCUAUGCCCACUGAGUAUUUUUAUACUCAGCCCUGCAUGUAUUUCUAAAUGUGCAGGUUGAGCAGUUGAUGGAAUGGAAUGAUGUUGAGCGGGUGUUCCUUUGACAUUUUAAGAAAUGUAACCUUGAGUAUACAUCUUCAUAUGUAUAUCUCACACGUUUUCCGCUGCAAAACACUUUGAUUAGGAUAGCUCUAUGAUAUGAAGUUGUGAUACGUGUUAUUGGGUAACCAC